rnacentral:rRNA from 1 species
AUGGCUUCCCAGCUCUCCGCCAUGACCACCGUGCCGCAGUUCCACGGCCUCAGGAGCUACUCCUCGCCCAGGUCCAUGGCCACGCUGCCGUCCUUGAGGAGGAAGAGGUCUCAGGGCAUCCGCUGCGACUACAUCGGCUCCUCCACCAACAUCAUCAUGGUGACGACGACGACCCUGAUGCUGUUCGCCGGGCGGUUCGGGCUGGCGCCGUCGGCGAACAGGAAGGCGACGGCGGGGCUCAAGCUGGAGGCGCGCGAGUCCGGGCUGCAGACGGGCGACCCGGCCGGCUUCACGCUCGCCGACACGCUCGCAUGCGGCUCCUUCGGCCACAUCUUGGGCGUCGGCAUCGUGCUCGGCCUCAAGAACACCGGCGUCCUAGACCAGAUCAUCGGCUAG